rnacentral:rRNA from 1 species
UACGAAGGGGGCUAGCGUUGUUCGGAAUCACUGGGCGUAAAGCGCACGUAGGCGGAUUGCUAAGUCAGGGGUGAAAUCCUGGAGCUCAACUCCAGAACUGCCUUUGAUACUGGCAAUCUCGAGUCCGGGAGAGGUGAGUGGAACUGCGAGUGUAGAGGUGAAAUUCGUAGAUAUUCGCAAGAACACCAGUGGCGAAGGCGGCUCACUGGCCCGGUACUGACGCUGAGGUGCGAAAGCGUGGGGAGCAAACAGG